UACAGAGGCCUCGAGCGUUAGGCGGAAUCACUGGGCUUAAAGCGUGUGUAGGUGGAUGCCUAAGUACCUUGUGAAAUCCCACGGCUUAACCGUGGAACUGCUGGGUAUACUGGGUGUCUUGAGCCACUCAGGGGCUACCGGAACAAACGGUGGAGCGGUGAAAUGCGUAGAUAUCGUUUGGAACGCCAAUGGUGAAAACAGGUAGCUGGGGGUGUGCUGACACUGAGACACGAAAGCCAGGGGAGCAAACGGU
rnacentral:rRNA from 1 species